AGGGAAUCUUCCACAAUGGACGCAAGUCUGAUGGAGCAACGCCGCGUGAGUGAGGAAGGUUUUCGGAUCGUAAAGCUCUGUUGUUGGUGAAGAAGGAUAGAGGUAGUAACUGGCCUUUAUUUGACGGUAAUCAACCAGAAAGUCACGGCUAACUAC
rnacentral:rRNA from 1 species